AAAAGAGGCCAAAACAGGGAUCUCUUUUCCGACCAAGAAUCGGCGACUCCUGUCGCCGGCAGCCGUGCACAAAGGCACGGGAGGAAGGGGAAGGAAGAGAGGAAGAGAAGGGGAACUCACCUUGGCCUCCGGUGACCUCAUCGGUGAGCAGUCACGGCGAGAACAAGGCGGGUGUCCGCGGCUCUAAUUCGAGAAAAUCGGAGAGGAAGAGAGGGGAAAAGGGCCGAUGAUCGGCUCCUAAGGAAGGG
rnacentral:lncRNA from 1 species